UCUGGGCUUCUAUAAACAUCUACAAGCUUGUGAUGAAUUAGAGGCUGGUUAUUCACAUUACACCAUGGCUCUCUGCUUUACACAAGUGUGGUUUCAUAAUGAGGAUCUGAUUCAUGCACUGCUUUUAGGGACACCUAUAUCCGCAUCCCAUUGCCAAGUUCCUCAGCAAAUGUCAAGGUGUUGAGGGAGAAUCAUCGACAUUUCAGAGUUGGAAGUACAACCCCCCUUAUUCCACAGAGACAAAGUAACUGAGGCCCUGCGAGGAGAGAAGGCCUGUGAAGGACAAUGAUACUCACUGCUGUGGUGGAAGCCAGGCAGGCCCCUUCUGACCCCUGCUGUGCUCCAGCCGGCACACCCGACUUCCCUCUGAGGAAUCUGGGCGUCCCUCAGUGGACGCAGUAAAAAGCUUCUCCAAGUCGACGUAGAACCUGGACCAGCACAGGCAAAGGCACCGCCAACCAUUCUGAAAGUUCUGACAUAACUCCCAGGCCUCAGGCUGCCAAGGCUGGACCCUGAACCUCGGUAAUCAGGAAAAGAACCUGGGGGCCUUCUGUCUCCCCCACACCCCUUUUUAACAUUUUGAAACAGAAUAUAACAUAAAAUUAACCAUUUUAAAGCAUAAGUUGAGUGGCAUUUAAUGCCUUCACAAUAUUGUGCAACCACCAUCUAUAUCAAGUUCCAAACAUUUUUUGUCGCCUCAAAAGGAAACCCUUUGCUCCUUAGCAGUCACUCCUAUUCCUCCACACCACCCCCAAGACCCUGGC
rnacentral:lncRNA from 10 species